rnacentral:rRNA from 1 species
UUACCGCUUUGACAUGCGAGAGAUUCCUUCGGGCACAGGUGCUGCAUGGCUGUCGUCAGCUCGUGUCGUGAGAUGUUGGGUUAAGUCCCGCAACGAGCGCAACCCCGCCUUAGUUACCAUCAUGUGGGACUCUAAGGAACCGCCGGUGAUAACCGGAGGAAGGUGGGGAUGACGUCAAGUCCUCAUGGCCCUUACGGNGGGCUACACACGUGCUACAAUGGACUACGGGGGCACCUCGAGGGAGCAAUCCCCAAAGUGUCUCAGUUCGGAUUGUUCUCUGCAACUCGAGAGCAUGAAGGCGGAAUCGCUAGUAAUCGCGAUCAGCAUGCGCGGUGAAUACGUUCCCAGGCCUUGUACACACCGCCCGUCACACCAUGGGAGUUGGUUACCGAA